rnacentral:rRNA from 1 species
GCAAUCUACCUUUUACAGAGGGAUAGCCCAGAGAAAUUUGGAUUAAUACCUCAUAGUAUAGCUCUACCGCAUGGUAGUACUAUUAAAGUCACAACGGUAAAAGAUGAGCAUGCGUCCCAUUAGCUAGUUGGUAAGGUAACGGCUUACCAAGGCUACGAUGGGUAGGGGUCCUGAGAGGGAGAUC